CUGUCAUGUUCACCAUUCGAAUCCUGAGUUGUCUUAACCAUAUCCGAAGAGAUCCUUAUGGGAAGUUCGUUGUCCUCUUCAGAUAAGAGGAGACUGAGGACCUGUAAGGAGAAGCUCGUUGCACGGAAGGCAAGUGGAAAGUCAGUGCACCAAUAGCUGUAGGCAGUAGCACCAGAGUCAUCAAUUGUAGGCCAACUUUUAAGUUAGUCUUGUGCAGGAGUAAAUUUAUGAUAUUGGGAAUCACUAUAUAGCCAACAGAAGUUGCCACGUUUUUUAAUGUCAGAGCUAAAAGAAGCUUCUUUCUGAAAUUCUUUCUUAAAAUGUAGUCACUCAGUAGAACUACAAAGCUAGCGCCUAUUCCCAUUACUGCACCAGCACUGGAAUUUGCUAAAUAUGCACCAACACCACCUGUUGCGAGAUAACCAGUUGCUAGAAUGCCGACUGCUAAGAGAAUUAUUCCUAUUAUUCCUACUAAACGUGGUGUCGAUGACAUGCUGACAAUCAUCCUUGUCCAAGGAUCUACAGAAUUGGACAUAGUAUAAGAAAAUCUGAUAUUAAUUUAUUUGGAGUAUUCAAUGGGUUUACCAGCUAAAUUCCAAAAGGCAGUGAACAGUAUUGGGGUCACAAUAAUUUCUUCAUUCCAUAGAUCUAAGUCAGUGUCUUUAGUUUCACUUAAGUAUCCCAAUACUAUGCCGUACAUAGAUAAUAUACUAGGAAUGGUCAUCUGUAAAAUUAACAUUUAAAUAACAUCUCAGAUAAUAUAAAAGAUCGACCAACUAUUUUUUAUACAGGGUGUUUAGAAGUGCGUGGUUAAAUAUCGGGAACUCUAUACUUACCUAGUUCUUCGAAUCAAAAGGAUAAUAAUUGCCUAUGCUGAGAAUUACAGGAGAACAAGAUUGUACAUUAAUUUGGAGGAAAGCACGCGGCAUCUGAUGAUACCUGAAAAAAAUUAUUUUAUAUUUCUAUUAUUAGAAUGACUACAACGAAUUCUUUACCACAUGUUGUUCUAUAUAAAUUCCUAAAUGUUCUAAAGACCCUGUAUAAAUAACUUUCUGCACUGAGUUUAAAGAAUUAAUUCUUUGAGAGUAUAAUGCUGAUUAUAUGAGUUGAAGAGGUUCUUAAGUUCAUCUUCCACUUGUUUGAAACGCUUAGUCUCAAAGAAUCAAUUGGCUCACCUGUGCUAACGCUUUCAUUGAACUUUCAGGCAUACCUGAACCAGACACACUCCGCAAAGGACAAUCCAUGAGUAACCACCAUCCGGAACGGUGGGUCCCAGUUCUGGAAACGACGCCACAACUUCAUCUAAACGAAGACGCUGCGACAUUGACAUCCUCCGUAUCUUUUGUUGUUCUUAUGAAGGAAGAAAAAUUACACAGCAAUUCAGUGAUGCACCUAGAUCUAUAAUAACGCUUCAGUGCGUAUUAUAAUCAUUGAAACAAACUGAGAGUGUUAUCUAAUCUCUGGUAAGAUGUCAAUGGUCUGAUAGGCUUUAUGAUAAGAAAUGGUGAAUGUUCUGAGCAUACUUUUGUACAAGUGUAGACCUUCUUACGGUUACCAGAGAUUGCUGAAUAAUAUCCAAAUUGCAUUACGCAUAGAAAUGAAAGCUUAUUAGAGAACGUUGCAAUUGGUAACGGGUGCUCUAAUAUUUCUUUCGAUUUCUAUGCAGUGUUGCCAAAUGAAAACAAUAGAAGUACAAAUAUAUAUCCAACAUUUAUUCAUCACUUGACACGUUCGAAACAGUCAAUAACAAAUGUCAAAAGUACAUGUAUCUCGUCGUGAGUUAUUCAUUACAUCAACAAGUAUAGCACGCUAAUGUCAUAACAAACAAUUAUAGGCGUUUAAUCGUUAUUAGUGAAAUGCAAAAAAUUAAGUACGGAAUCACGCUAUAAAUAUUACGUUCCUAUUCGUAAGGUAAAUCCUAUUCGUACAACGUUAAGAGAAAAUAUUUUUACAUGUCACAGUAGAAAAAGUGGAACUUCUCAACAGUCUAGAAUGUUAAAUAUGAAAUCAACUCUAGCGAUCACUAGUGUUAAGGCUCUAUUACUAUUCAGAAUUCAUGGGUGCUUUGAUUGUUCAAUCGAUUGUUUAUGGAGUCUGAUCCCAUUUGUCAUAACUGCUACUCUAAGUCAUAUUAGUUUCUUUAUUGCUUUAGAUAUAAAACGCAAGGGCAGACGUUCAGCGACAUCGGACGAUCAACCAAUAUUUUUUUAAGCGGAAUUAGUGAAUCAAUGACUAUACGUCUUCGCGUGCGUCACCGGUUGCAAUCGAAGUAUACCGCACCCUUUUGUUAACCGAAUCCAGUAUCGGCUCGAUUUUCUUCUGCAGCUUCGAGCGUUGCACGUAAAUCAGAGCGCACACUAAUCCUAUCAGCACCAGCGUUAGAAAGAAUAGCGAAAUUGUCGUGCCACGCGAGGCCGUUGAAAACAAUUUCGUUGCGCAAUUUUUCGUCUCAUGAAUAUUAUGCGCCGCCUUACCUGAAAGAAGCAGUACAUUUGUUAUCACACCGUAUCGACAUAGAAUAUUAUAUUAGAGACAACAACGCCGUUACAAAUACCUUCGUAACACUUCAAGUUAUUCUUAUUGCGAAUGAACACUUUUGUCUUGUUCAUCCAUUUAAUGAAGGGGUUCAGCUUGCACGAACACUCGAGCGGAUUACCAGACAAGUCGACUGCUAGGCUUUGAUUGUACUCGACUAUUGCGUCCAUGGCAUGGAGAUCAUGUUCCAAGACUUUGGUGAACUUGUUACGCUGAAGGUCUAAGAACCGUAGAUUGGAUAGGCAGGAUAUGUUAAAAUGUAAAGCAGUGAGAGCGUUAUCGCCCAGAUAGAGAUCCAGAAUCCUUGGGAGGUCACAGAACACGUUAACGUCUCGGAAUUCCGAGAUGUCAUUCUGUUCCAAAUGCAGCUUCAUUAGCUGCUUUAAAUUGCUGUAAGAAGGGAACAAUUCAUUUCAUAGAAAUGUGUAGAGAUAGAAAUAACAAUGAAAUGAACAAUGCUAGAUUUAAUGUUAGAAUUUAAUGUAGCUUUUAAAUACCUGUUCACAAAAAUAUCAUGCAACGUAGCUGCUAGAUCUCUAGGCCUCUCACGCUCAAAUGCAUUGGUCAAGUGGAGUUCCAACAGAGAAACGAAAUUGGAGAAUACUCUGGGAUGAUUUCUCUCAGGGUCCAAAGACAGCUUGUUGAAGUCAAGAAUAAGGCGUUCAACGCGUUGAACAUGAUGAUACGCUUUCCCUCUGAUCUCCUUGAUCCUGUUAUUCGACAUGUCUAUCACCCUUAGGUCAGGCAAGUUAUCUAAUGUGCCAAAGAUGUUCCAUGGAAGCUCCUCCAAAUAAUUUCCAGUGAAAAUAAGGACCUGCAAGUGAAUUUGAUUAUCUUAAUAUUUUAUGAAAUCAAAUGGAAAGGUCUAUAGUGCAUUAUAUAAAUGAAAGAAAUAGGAAAAGCAGUGAAGUAAUUUAAAUAAAUAUUUCAGUAAGACUGAUUAGAUAUUUAAAAAUUUAUUUGUCAAUGUUUCUACCUGUGUUUCAUUGGGCAAAUGUGCCAGUGGUUCUGUGUUGAGGAAACCUGAGUUCGUGCAAUUAACGACAUACUGAUAACGGUUCUCGUAACACGUUUUCAUGCAAAGGCAACGCCUUUCGAAAACCGAUCCACAUUCGGCUAUAGCCGACUCGUGGGUCUCCAACGAGUGCCAAUUCGGGUCGCAGUCAUUUGGUGGUUGAGCAGUGGACAAAUAUAUUAACAGGAAUAUUGUGUACAGUUUCUUCAUCGUAUACCUGAAAUUGUAAAGCGCCCAUUAGUACUUAUAAUUAAUGAUAAACUUGUAUAAGAAUUACUUUUAAAAGAUGCAUGUACUAUAGAGAAAGAAUCGUUGUUCAUGACGUUAGUUCAAAUUCUGGCGCGGAAACGAUAUUUGAAAUUGUAACCGUUGAUUGGUCGAGACGAUUUAGGCGGGUACUGUAUAGUAACGUACGUAACGCCUAGCCAAUCGCAUCAGUACUAGAGGUGAUUGUCAUGCAGUGAAGUUUUGAAAGUGUUUACACGAAGCAUGCUUUCAAGUUCAAUGGAAAAUAAAGUUUAUUACAUUACAGAGUAAUUAAUAAUAAAUAACGAUGAGUCAUGCGUGACAAGAGUUUUAUAUACUGCGUUUGACCACGUACAUUUUAUCAAUCUAUCAACAAAGAUGCAUACUGUAUUUUAUUGUACCUAGAAGUAUUCAUAAAUACCAGAGGGAAUCUUAUAUGGAUGUAGUGUAUUUGCAGAAUAUAUUUUACCUAUUAUAUUAAAGGAAUAUUUUUCUAUAAGGAUGCCAGGUGAGAAUCCGUACAGUCAAGAAUGAUGCAGAAUGUAUUAAGUUGUCCAAGGGAAGUCAGAGGAAUGCACAGCAGGGAAGGUAAAAGAAGUGCAUUCUGCUCUAUGCACAGAAAACUGUCUGUGUACAGAAAUAACGCCAGGAUGAUUGCGUAGCAUGGAGAUAAGCAGGAAAGUAGUCCAUCCAAUACACGGCUGUCUACAGAGGAUUAAACCAGGACAAGGAGUAUGGUAAAACGGGCGGAAGAUAAUUCAAAUGCGACAGGUGCAAACAAACUCGCGAUAACGCGCGCUUUGUUAGCUAAAUACAAUCUCAACAAAUACCCCUGAAGCCAUGCAGCUCUCAGGAGGCCACGGGAACGAACAGCGUUCCGGUUUCUAGCAGAAAGACGACUCGCGAACCGGAGAAGCGAAUAUUGGAAAAGGAAGAUCGGAUUUCGAGUCGCGUUUCCUGCAAUCCGAUUUUUGCCCGAGGACUGGGACCACGUAAGAAACGAGACCACCGCUGUGUCACCGUGGACACGGUUCGAACUGUAUCGUCUCGACACUAGGACCAAAGUAGGUCGACGAGUCAUACCGCUUGUAAAAACGUCAGGCUCACGCACCCACGCAACAGGUGAUAUCAGAUAUUCACAAAGUACUACACUAUCCACGCAAAUGGAUACCUCGAACCACUCAAUCCAAACGCAUCAAACACAAGCAAACACGUUCUCAAUCUCCGACUGAAAGGAAACCCGCAGUGGUACCUUUCGGUUCCUAAUUUUACACGAAACUCCCACAU